UACGUAGGGUGCAAGCGUUAAUCGGAAUUACUGGGCGUAAAGCGUGCGCAGGCGGUUUUGUAAGUCUGUCGUGAAAGCCCCGGGCUCAACCUGGGAAUUGCAUUCGAGACUGAAUAGCUAGGGUACGGUAGAGGGAAGUGGAAUUUCCGGUGUAGCGGUGAAAUGCGUAGAUAUCGGAAGGAACAUCAGUGGCGAAAGCGACUUCCUGGACCAGUACCGACGUUCAGGCACGAAAGCGUGGGGAGCAAACAGG
rnacentral:rRNA from 1 species